CUUGUUGCUUCCCUCCUUUCUCUAUUUCUUUGUCCAAUUUUAUUUGAGAGUGCAAAGUGAAAGAGGUGUGAUAGAGUUUGUAAACUUAUCACCCACAUAUUUUGGUAUUGAGUUAGUAAACUGUCAAAUACCAACAGUUAUCUCAGCCAUCAUGUUCUCCAGUGCAGAUGCCGUGCCCAAAGGCAAAGACUCCACCAUCGGUCACGAUACUUACGGUUCUACUUGCGCCGCUGCAGCCCGCGGUGCCGGAUGGUGUGCUUGAUCAUCAACUUCCACACGCACAAGACUGAAACUCAAUUUCCAAGAACCACCCUUGUGGCUGGUGAGUUAGCAGCAAAUACAACUUAGAAACAAACAAAUUGGCCGUGGAAUAGGAAAUUCAGAUGGAUAUUUGGCAUCACUAGAGGGGAACUCCAGCUCGGUCAAUGUACCCAUCAUCUAGAAAAAUUUCUCGAGGAGUGGAUAGACAACUUUCAAGAUAAGUGGAUCCGAUUUUACAAGAGGAAGAUGAAGUUCGACCUCCAACACAUAUUAGCCACCGGCCUACGUAUUUUAAGCCCUUCAUCGGUUUCUUCUAGUCUUGGGGUUGAUGCGGGUCCUAUCUUAGUGUUAGAUGAACCACUUUGGAGAUAAAUAGACUCAUUCAUCUACUUUUUCUUUCCCCUGGAAAUUACGGCUCAAAUGUUGCUUAUUUUCCCUUGGCCUUCAAGGGAUCAACAUCGGAUUUUUCACGGGCUAAAAGAUGAAUUAAUUAAUUAAUUCAAAUCAUAUUCAUUUAUUUUAUAGAAAAAACAUAUAAUCUAUCAUCUACGAGAUAGAUGUAUAUUUUGUUGUUAUUCUAAAAAUAGUGUGCAUUAUUUUGUUUCAGUUUUAGAAAAUAGUGUAGAUUAUUUUUCUGUAGUUCUAGAAAUAGUGUGAGCUAUUUUGGUUCAAUUUCAUAAAUGGUGUAGGUUUGUGGUAGUUUCAGAAAUUUAUUUUCUUUUAUAAAUAGUGUGGAUUGUUUUAGUUCAGUUUUUUUUCCCUCAAAAAUAGUGUGUAAUUUUGUUGUAGUUCCAGAAAUAAUAUUGGUUAUUUUGGUUCAA